UCCGAUAGCUCAGUUGGUAGAGAAUGAGAUUCUUGAUCACAGGGCCAUGGGUUCAAAUCCUACAUCGGGCAA